rnacentral:rRNA from 1 species
UACGGAGGGUGCAAGCGUUGCUCGGAAUUAUUGGGCGUAAAGGGUAGGUAGGUGGUCUUAUUUGUCUGAGGUGAAAGCCUUGAGCUUAACUCAAGAAGUGCCUCAGAAACGGUAAGACUGGAGUCCUGGAGAGGGUCGUGGAAUUCCCGGUGUAGCGGUGAAAUGCGUAGAGAUCGGGGGGAACACCAGAGGCGAAGGCGGCGACCUGGACAGGCACUGACACUCAACUACGAAAGCGUGGGGAGCAAACAGG